CGCAAGCCUGAUCCAGCCAUGCCGCGUGCAGGAAGACUGCCCUAUGGGUUGUAAACUGCUUUAUACGGGGAAGAAACACUCCUUCGUGAGGAGCUUGACGGUACCGUAAGAAUAGGAUCGGCUAACUCCGUGCCAGCAGCCGCGGUAAUACGGAGGAUCCAAGCGUUAUCCGGAAUCAUUGGGUUAAAGGGUCCGUAGGUGGAUAAUUAAGUCAGAGGUGAAAUCCUGCAGCUCAACUGUAGAAUUGCCUUUGAUACUGGUUAUCUUGAGUCAUUAUGAAGUGGUUAGAAUAUGUAGUGUAGCGGUGAAAUGCAUAGAUAUUACAUAGAAUACCAAUUGCGAAGGCAGAUCACUAAUAAUGUACUGACACUGAUGGACGAAAGCGUGGGGAGCGAACAGGAUUAGAUACCCUGGUAG
rnacentral:rRNA from 1 species